GUGUUGAAAGGCAGGAGUGAAGAUUAGCACUCCCCUGGGGAAAGAUGGAACAAGUCCUUAUGACCUUAACACAUGUAUGAUUGCGGUAUCUCACCAUCCAUUGCGUGACAUCUCAAACCGUUGU